GUGCUUGCUUUGGCAGCACAUGUACUAAAAUUGGAACAAUACAGCAAAGAUUAGCAUGAGCCCUGCACAAGGAUGAAACCCAAGGACUGAGGAUAUAAAGAGGAGCUC